AGGUCCCUUCGAACUCUAUUAUUCUGUGUAGAAGUGGUGAUAACCUCAGACCUUUGUGCAAAGAUGGUAUGGGUGAAAGGGAAGGCAGAGACGACCUGGUGGAAAAUAACUUCGUUCUAAAACUAGGAUGCACAUUUUUUUUUUAUUUUGAGAGCUUGCUCAUAGUCACCACCUCCACUAAGAAAAACCAGAAAAAAGCAAAAAUCCUGGAGUGUUCUUGGCCAGGAUAAAGAAAAAACUAAAAAAAAAAAAACCAAAACUAAAUAAAGUUAUUUUAACUGACAUUUAAUAAAAUUAAAUGGAUGAAGUAAUGGAGCCUAAUUGUGCAAUGGAGUUUCUGGAAGUGCUUUAAAGUAAGGGUCCCCAACUUUGGCAACUUUAAGACUUGCGGACUUCAACUCCCAGAAUUCCCCAGCCAGCAAUGUUUUUAAACCAUUCACCGUGGCUGGCUGGAGAAUUCUGGGAAUUAAGUCCACAAGUUUUAAAGGGGCCAAGGUUGGGAACCUCUGCUUUAAAAUAUGCUCCCAGGUGUGAGACAACACAUAAUUGGCCCUCCUAUGACAUGGGAAGCUUGCCUGCAUUAUGACAGUUCAGCUUCCUGAACUGUCCUUGGUUUAAGGCAGUGUUUAUCAACCUUGACAGCUUGAAGAUGUGUGGAGCUCAAUUCCCAGAAUUCCCAGCCAGCCAUGGUGAAUGCUUUAAAUCCAUGAAGUUUAAUUAAAAUGAAUUCAUCUUUAGAGCUGUGAGAGAGGAACUGGCCCAAGCUCACCGAGAUGGCUUUGUAUCUAAAGCAAGACUGGAAAUCGUGAUGAUCUGAUCUCUAGCCUACUGCCUUAACCACUACACCACACUUGCUCGCUGAAAGUAAUAAGCCAGCAAUAAGCCGGCUGCAGAAA